rnacentral:rRNA from 1 species
GAUGAACGCUGCGGCGUGCCUAACACAUGCAAGUCGAACGAAGCAUUACUAAUGAUCCCUUCGGGGUGAUAGGUUAUGACUUAGUGGCGGACGGGUGAGUAACGCGUGGGUAACCUGCCCUAUUCUGGGGGACAACGAUUGGAAACGGUCGCUAAUACCGCAUAAUCCCAAUAGGUCGCAUGACUUAGUGGGGAAAACUGAGGUGGAAAAGGAUGGACCCGCGUCUGAUUAGCUAGUUGGUAAGGUAGAGGCUUACCAAGGCAAUGAUCAGUAGCCGGCCUGAGAGGGUGAACGGCCACAUUGGGACUGAGACACGGCCCAAACUCCUACGGGAGGCAGCAGUGGGGAAUAUUGCACAAUGGGGGAAACCCUGAUGCAGCGACGUCGCGUGGGCGAAGAAGUAUUUCGGUACGUAAAGCCCUAUCAGCAGGGAAGAUAAUGACGGUACCUGACUAAGAAG